rnacentral:rRNA from 1 species
CGAUUGAGUUUGAUCAUGGCUCAGGAUGAACGCUGGCGGCGUGCCUAAUACAUGCAAGUCGAGCGCAACUUCUUAUACCGAACCUUCGGGUUCACUUUAAGAGUUGAGCGGCGGACGGGUGAGUAACACGUAGGCAACCUACCCUUAAGACUGGGAUAACUACGGGAAACCGUAGCUAAUACCGGAUAAUACCUUUACUCAAAAGAGUUUAGGUUGAAAGAUGGAUUUUCUAUCACUUAAGGAUGGGCCUGCGGCGCAUUAGCUAGUUGGUGAGGUAGUAGCUCACCAAGGCGACGAUGCGUAGCCGACCUGAGAGGGUGAUCGGCCACACUGGGACUGAGACACGGCCCAGACUCCUACGGGAGGCAGCAGUAGGGAAUCUUCCGCAAUGGACGAAAGUCUGACGGAGCAACGCCGCGUGUGUGAUGAAGGAUUUCGGUUCGUAAAGCACUGUUGUUAAGGAAGAAUAGUAGUAAGAGUAACUGUUUACUAAUUGACGGUACUUAACCAGAAAGCCACGGCUAACUACGUGCCAGCAGCCGCGGUAAUACGUAGGUGGCAAGCGUUAUCCGGAAUUAUUGGGCGUAAAGCGCGCGUAGGCGGCAAGAUUAGUCUGAUGUGAAAGCCCCCGGCUCAACCGGGGAGGGUCAUUGGAAACUGUCUUGCUUGAGUGCAGAAGAGGAGAGUGGAAUUCCAUGUGUAGCGGUGAAAUGCGCAGAGAUAUGGAGGAACACCAGUGGCGAAGGCGGCUCUCUGGUCUGCAACUGACGCUGAUGUGCGAAAGCGUGGGGAUCAAACAGGAUUAGAUACCCUGGUAGUCCACGCCGUAAACGAUGAGUGCUAAGUGUUA